GAUGAAGAACGUAGCGAAAUGCGAUACCUGGUGUGAAUUGCAGAAUCCCGCGAACCAUCGAGUCUUUGAACGCAAGUUGCGCCCGAGGCCACUCGGCCGAGGGCACGCCUGCCUGGGCGUCACGCCAAAACACGCUCCCAACCCCCCUCAUCGGGAAUAUGGAUGCGGCAUAUGGUCCCUCGUCUCGCAAGGGGCGGUGGGCCGAAGAUCGGGCUGCCGGCGGACCGCGCCGGACACAGCGCAUGGUGGGCGUCCUCGCUUUAUCAACGCAGUGCAUCCGACGCGUAGCCGGCGUGAUGGCCUCAAAACGACCCAGCAAACGAAGCGCACGUCGCUUCGACCGCGACCCCAGGUCAGGCGGGACUACCCGCUGAGUUUAAGCAUAUCAAUAAGCGGAGGA
rnacentral:misc_RNA from 1 species